rnacentral:rRNA from 1 species
GACGAACGCUGUCGGCGUGCUUAACACAUGCAAGUCGAACGGAAAGGCCCUGCUUUUGUGGGGUGCUCGAGUGGCGAACGGGUGAGUAACACGUGAGUAACCUGCCCUUGACUUUGGGAUAACUUCAGGAAACUGGGGCUAAUACCGGAUAGGAGCUCCUGCUGCAUGGUGGGGGUUGGAAAGUUUCGGCGGUUGGGGAUGGACUCGCGGCUUAUCAGCUUGUUGGUGGGGUAGUGGCUUACCAAGGCUUUGACGGGUAGCCGGCCUGAGAGGGUGACCGGCCACAUUGGGACUGAGAUACGGCCCAGACUCCUACGGGAGGCAGCAGUGGGGAAUAUUGCACAAUGGGCGGAAGCCUGAUGCAGCAACGCCGCGUGCGGGAUGACGGCCUUCGGGUUGUAAACCGCUUUCGCCUGUGACGAAGCGUGAGUGACGGUAAUGGGUAAAGAAGCACCGGCUAACUACGUGCCAGCAGCCGCGGUGAUACGUAGGGUGCGAGCGUUGUCCGGAUUUAUUGGGCGUAAAGGGCUCGUAGGUGGUUGAUCGCGUCGGAAGUGUAAUCUUGGGGCUUAACCCUGAGCGUGCUUUCGAUACGGGUUGACUUGAGGAAGGUAGGGGAGAAUGGAAUUCCUGGUGGAGCGGUGGAAUGCGCAGAUAUCAGGAGGAACACCAGUGGCGAAGGCGGUUCUCUGGGCCUUUCCUGACGCUGAGGAGCGAAAGCGUGGGGAGCGAACAGGCUUAGAUACCCUGGUAGUCCACGCUGUAAACGGUGGGUACUAGGUGUGGGGUCCAUUCCACGGGUUCCGUGCCGUAGCUAACGCUUUAAGUACCCCGCCUGGGGAGUACGGCCGCAAGGCUAAAACUCAAAGGAAUUGACGGGGCCCCGCACAAGCGGCGGAGCAUGCGGAUUAAUUCGAUGCAACGCGUAGAACCUUACCUGGGUUUGACAUGGAUCGGGAGUGCUCAGAGAUGGGUGUGCCUCUUUUGGGGUCGGUUCACAGGUGGUGCAUGGCUGUCGUCAGCUCGUGUCGUGAGAUGUUGGGUUAAGUCCCGCAACGAGCGCAACCCUUGUUCACUGUUGCCAGCACGUUAUGGUGGGGACUCAGUGGAGACCGCCGGGGUCAACUCGGAGGAAGGUGGGGAUGACGUCAAGUCAUCAUGCCCCUUAUGUCCAGGGCUUCACGCAUGCUACAAUGGCUGGUACAGAGAGUGGCGAGCCUGUGAGGGUGAGCGAAUCUCGGAAAGCCGGUCUCAGUUCGGAUUGGGGUCUGCAACUCGACCUCAUGGAGUCGGAGUCGCUAGUAAUCGCAGAUCAGCAACGCUGCGGUGAAUACGUUCCCGGG